UACGGAGGGUCCGAGCGUUAUCCGGAAUCAUUGGGUUUAAAGGGUCCGCAGGCGGUCAAUUAAGUCAGAGGUGAAAUCCCAUAGCUUAACUAUGGAACUGCCUUUGAUACUGGUUGACUUGAGUCAUAUGGAAGUAGAUAGAAUGUGUAGUGUAGCGGUGAAAUGCAUAGAUAUUACACAGAAUACCGAUUGCGAAGGCAGUCUACUACGUAUGUACUGACGCUGAGGGACGAAAGCGUGGGGAGCGAACAGG
rnacentral:rRNA from 1 species